rnacentral:rRNA from 1 species
GGGGAAUUUUGGACAAUGGGCGCAAGCCUGAUCCAGCCAUGCCGCGUGAGUGAAGAAGGCCUUCGGGUUGUAAAGCUCUUUCGGACGGGAAGAAACGGCGGGCUCUAACAUAGCCUGUCGAUGACGGUACCGUAAGAAGAAGCACCGGCUAACUACGUGCCAGCAGCCGCGGUAAUACGUAGGGUGCGAGCGUUAAUCGGAAUUACUGGGCGUAAAGCGUGCGCAGGCGGUUUUGUAAGACAGAUGUGAAAUCCCCGGGCUUAACCUGGGAACUGCGUUUGUGACUGCAAUGCUGGAGUACGGCAGAGGGGGGUGGAAUUCCACGUGUAGCAGUGAAAUGCGUAGAGAUGUGGAGGAACACCGAUGGCGAAGGCAGCCCCCUGGGCCUGUACUGACGCUCAUGCACGAAAGCGUGGGGAGCAAACA